rnacentral:rRNA from 1 species
CAUUAAGUUGGGCACUCUGGCGAGACUGCCGGUGACAAACCGGAGGAAGGUGGGGACGACGUCAAGUCAUCAUGCCCCUUAUGACCUGGGCUACACACGUGCUACAAUGGACGGUACAACGAGUCGCAAGACCGCGAGGUUUAGCUAAUCUCUUAAAGCCGUUCUCAGUUCGGAUUGUAGGCUGCAACUCGCCUACAUGAAGUCGGAAUCGCUAGUAAUCGCGAAUCAGCAUGUCGCGGUGAAUACGUUCCCGGG